rnacentral:rRNA from 1 species
GUGGGUGGGAUGAGUAUUCUAAGGCGCGUGGAAGAACUCUCUUUAAGGAACUCUGCAAAAUAGCACCGUAUCUUCGGUAUAAGGUGUGGUUAGCUUUGUAUUAGGAUUUACUCCGAAAGCAAGGAAACUUACAACAAAGAGUCCCUCCCGACUGUUUACCAAAAACACAGCACUCUGCUAACUCGUAAGAGGAUGUAUAGGGUGUGACGCCUGCCCGGUGCUCGAAGGUUAAUUGAUGGGGUUAGCAUUAGCGAAGCUCUUGAUCGAAGCCCGAGUAAACGGCGGCCGUAACUAUAACGGUCCUAAGGUAGCGAAAUUCCUUGUCGGUUAAAUACCGACCUGCAUGAAUGGCGUAACGAGAUGGGAGCUGUCUCAAAGAGGGAUCCAGUGAAAUUGUAGUGGAGGUGAAAAUUCCUCCUACCCGCGGCAAGACGGAAAGACCCCGUGGACCUUUACUACAGCUUGACACUGCUACUUGGAUAAGAAUGUGCAGGAUAGGUGGGAGGCUUUGAGUAUAUGACGCCAGUUGUAUAUGAGCCAUUGUUGAGAUACCACUCUUUCUUAUUUGGGUAGCUAACCAGCUUGAGUUAUCCUCAAGUGGGACAAUGUCUGGUGGGUAGUUUGACUGGGGCGGUCGCCUCCCAAAUAAUAACGGAGGCUUACAAAGGUUGGCUCAGAACGGUUGGAAAUCGUUCGUAGAGUAUAAAGGUAUAAGCCAGCUUAACUGCAAGACAUACAAGUCAAGCAGAGACGAAAGUCGGUCUUAGUGAUCCGGUGGUUCUGUGUGGAAGGGCCAUCGCUCAAAGGAUAAAAGGUACCCCGGGGAUAACAGGCUGAUCUCCCCCAAGAGCUCACAUCGACGGGGAGGUUUGGCACCUCGAUGUCGGCUCAUCGCAUCCUGGGGCUGGAGCAGGUCCCAAGGGUAUGGCUGUUCGCCAUUUAAAGCGGUACGCGAGCUGGGUUCAGAACGUCGUGAGACAGUUCGGUCCCUAUCUGCCGUGGGCGUAAGAAGAUUGAAGAGAUUUGACCCUAGUACGAGAGGACCGGGUUGAACAAACCACUGGUGUAGCUGUUGUUCUGCCAAGAGCAUCGCAGCGUAGCUAAGUUUGGAAAGGAUAAACGCUGAAAGCAUCUAAGCGUGAAGCCAACUCUAAGAUGAAUCUUCUCUAAGCUCUCUAGAAGACUACUAGUUUGAUAGGCUGGGUGUGUAAUGGAUGAAAGUCCUUUAGCUGACCAGUACUAAUAGAGCGUUUGGCUUAUCUUUAAUAAAGCAU